GACAGCAUUAAUGGAAUAUCAUGAAGAAAGACAACGCUGUAACAGUGCGGAGCCAUACCGUAUCGCUGGCUUGUUUAAUGAUUGACCCAACUCGCCUGCUUCCAAUGACAUUGACAGAGAAAGAUCAGGGAUAUGAUGAGACAAGGACCUCCGGCUAAUUGGUUGUAGGGGCAAAGGAGCAGCGGCUGGAUAGCUCGUAGUAGCGUACAGAAUCAUCGCUUUCUAUCCCACUGUCAUAGAGGGCGCACCCGCAAACGAGAAUGCGAACGUUCACCGAUAACGAGGACUAUCCUCCAACGAUAUCUUUAUUCCCGUUUCUCUCAUGCACGAGCAGAAGGAUCGAGAGAAACAUUGCUAUUUUCCAUUCGCUCUUUUGACUGGUGCUCACCUGGAACGAGC